rnacentral:rRNA from 1 species
UACGUAGGGCGCAAGCGUUGUCCGGAAUUAUUGGGCGUAAAGAGCUCGUAGGCGGUUUGUCGCGUCUGCUGUGAAAACUCAGGGCUUAACCCUGAGCCUGCAGUGGGUACGGGCAGACUAGAGUGUGGUAGGGGGAGAUCGGAAUUCCUGGUGUAGCGGUGGAAUGCGCAGAUAUCAGGAGGAACACCGGUGGCGAAGGCGGAUCUCUGGGCCAUGAACUGACGCUGAGGAGCGAAAGCAUGGGGAGCGAACAGGA